rnacentral:lncRNA from 1 species
AUGAAUCAUAAGGCAUUGUUGUCCUAUAUUUUCUUUGUUUCCUUUUCAUUACUAAAAUAUAGUAAUGUGGAGUGUCAACCAGUUUUGCCCCCACCAUACGCAACGCAUAAGUUGUAUUCAUUCAAUAAAGCGAACUCUCAUGAUAUCAAAAAUGAUUUAAGAAAAAUAGUAACAAAUUUUAUUGCUAGUAAAGUAAAGUUAUUAAAAAAUAAAUGGGAAGUGUAUAGAAGUGAUAACAUGGAAGAUGAUAAUAUUGAUAAAUUAGUAACAAAUGAUUAUGAUUCAUCAUUAGAAGACGAGGUAAAUUCAUUACUAAAACAAGCUGAAAAUAAAAGAUUGUUAUCAAAAAAAAUAAAAUCAUCAUAUGAUCGUGCAUUAAAAUCUCUAGAACAGAAAAAAAAAAAAAAAAGAAGAGCUGGAGGAGUAAGUGUAAAUGGGGGUACAUAUUAUGAUAGUAACAGUGAUGAUGAUAAAGCAAGACAUGUUUUAGAACACAAUUUAGAACAAAUAAAUUAUUUAAUAAAAAAAUCAGAAUAUUUAGAAAAGAAAGCUUUAGAAUUAAAAAGGCAUUUAAAAAAUAAUAUUGAUAAGGAUUAUGGACAGAAUGAUGAUUGUACUAUAUCCAAAACAGGUAUUUUAAAAUUUGUUACUUCUGUUAAUGGGUUAACACAUUCAAUUGAUAAAGUGCAAGCUGAAAUUAAUAAUAAUGGCUUUUUUAUAUUUUAUAAAAAUAAAAAAAAAAUGGCCUACUUAUGGAAUAUGAUAGAUUUGCCUAUUAAAUUAAUUGGUAAUGUUGAACAAUGCUUUUUUUUUGUUUAUAAAAAUAGUAAUCAAAUUUUUUGUACAGACAAUAAAUUAAAAACUGCCUCUUGGGUAAAUAGUUUAGCUGAAGCUUCGAUAUGUUCGAAUUUUGGAACGAAAGGAAUUUUAAUUGAUACGAAUAAUGUUAAUGAUAAAUUAAAGAAAAAAAAUAACAAAAAAAUGAAUGAUGACAACUUAUUAAAAAUUGAGUUAAAACCUGAAGAAAAUGUGACUCGUGUAUUUGUUAAUGAUAAAGAACAUAAACUUGAAAAUAAUGGGAAUGUUAUUAGUUUAAAUAAAAUCAAAAACCAAAUGGAAAAUGAAAAAAAAAAAAGCAAAAAGGAACAACAGACGGAAAACGAUGAUGAAAACAACCAAGUCGAUAAUCAUAACGAACAAAUAAAAGAGGACGCAGAAGAAGAAGAAACAGAAGAAGAUGAAAGAGCUGAGAAAAUUGAUAGUGAUGAAUAA